GGCUUGCACUGGUGGCGAGUGGCGAACGGGUGAGUAAUACGUAGGAAUCUGUCCUUGUAGUGGGGGAUAACCCGGCGAAAGCCGGGCUAAUACCGCAUACGCUCUAUGGAGGAAAGCGGGGGACCUUCGGGCCUCGCGCUAUAGGAUGAGCCUACGUCCGAUUAGCUAGUUGGUAGGGUAAUGGCCUACCAAGGCGACGAUCGGUAGCUGGUCUGAGAGGACGAUCAGCCACACUGGAACUGAGACACGGCCCAGACUCCUACGGGAGGCAGCAGUGGGGAAUUUUGGACAAUGGGCGAAAGCCUGAUCCAGCAAUGCCGCGUGUGUGAAGAAGGCCUGCGGGUUGUAAAGCACUUUAAGCGGGGAAGAAAGGCGGGAGGCUAAUACCCUCUUGCACUGACGGUACCUGCAGAAUAAGCACCGGCUAACUCCGUGCCAGCAGCCGCGGUAAUACGUAGGGUGCGAGCGUUAAUCGGAAUU
rnacentral:rRNA from 1 species